UCUCAAGUACAGCUUUCCGAGUACUAUUCCUCUCUAUGUGAAAUCUGCCCGUCACCCACACCUAUCAUAUGAUGUUGGGACAGAGCCCAACUCAUCCUCUUGCCUGAGGAAAUAGAGCUGAAAUGUAAGGAUCUUCAAAACCGUUGCACAAUCAACCAACUUUUCUGCACAAGCUGUGUCUACUGCCCUUGCUGCCUAUUCUGUUUGGAAGCAAGAGAAUAACAGAAGAAACAAGUGACCAAAGAAUGAAUAACAUGUCCAGCCUUUUGUAUUACUCCUGAUAUCAUAAUAAGACAUUGUGUGUUUUAUUCACAUGGAUCUUGGCCAUAUAUUGAGUACAGUGAAACCUCACUGGCUUCAAUGUACACUAGACCAGGCAAAGAGCAAAUAGUGGCACCAAAGCCAUCCCUACCGCCCAUCCCAUGCCCCUUCUGAGCAACACCUGAAAACCUCUGUAGCAUAUUCCUGUAAAUUCUACCAGGUAGUUAACAUCUG
rnacentral:lncRNA from 1 species